rnacentral:rRNA from 1 species
ACCUCAAGUCAUGUGAGAGUACCCGCUGAACUUAAGCAUAUCAAUAAGCGGAGGAAAAGAAACUAACAAGGAUUCCCCUAGUAACGGCGAGUGAAGCGGGAAGAGCACAAAUUUAAAAUCUACCUGGUUUCCAGGUCGAGUUGUAAUUUGAAGAAACGUUUUUGACGUUCCGGGUUGGGAUAAAUCCUUUGGGAUGAGGUAUCAUGGAGGGUGAGAAUCCCGUGUAUACCAACCGCAGGGAUGUUAUUUAAUACGUUUUCUAAGAGUCGAGUUGUUUGGGAAUGCAGCUCUAAAUGGGUGGUAAAUUUCACCUAAUGCUAAAUAUAAGCGAGAGACCGAUAGCGAACAAGUACCGUGAGGGAAAGAUGAAAAGAACUUUGAAAAGAGAGUUAAAUAGUACGUGAAAUUGUUGAAAGGGAAACGAUUGAAGUCAGUCAUGCCGGCGGGAAUCAACUUAGAGGAAACUUUAAGUGCACUUCACGUUUGGCAGGUCAGCGUCGAUUUUGGAUAUCAUAAAAUGAUUGGGGGAAGGUAGCUUCUUCGGAAGUGUUAUAGCCCUUGAUAGAUGUGAUGUUUGGGAUCGAGGAUUGCAACGGAUACCCUUCGGGCUAGCCGCCUGAUCUCUAACUGGUGUUAGGUUACGGACAGCAUGCUGAUCGUGAUUUAAUUACUGGUUAAAAGGUUAGAGCGAGUGUAAAUUCGUUAAGGACGCUGACGUAAUGGCUUUAAACGACCCGUCUUGAAACACGGACCAAGGAGUCUAACAUGUAUGCGAGUGUUAGGGUAUUAAACCCAGAUGCGAAAUGAAAGUGAGUGUAGGUGGGAUCCUUUAUUGGAGCACCAUCGACCGAUCUUGAGAUUUAUCGAUAGAAUUGAGUUAGAGCAUACCUGUUGGGACCCGAAAGAUGGUGAACUAUGCCUGAAUAGAGCGAAGCCAGAGGAAACUCUGGU